UGCAUCACGUGUGACCUCCGUA
rnacentral:miRNA from 13 species